AAAACUUCAGUCCUACCCCCGGACAAAGCUGCCCAUCACCUGUGCGCACGGCGACAGCCGUGAAGUACCUGCGAAGCGGGUUACCAUCGCAGCGCCAACCGGCACCUGGCCAAUAGAUGUCGGGUUCGUCAAGGAUGUGCCAGUACCCCCGACGGCAUCCCGUGUUGCUGGCAUCAGACAGCCCCAAGGACGAGAGCAGUGUGUGACCGCCAGCCGCACUGCACAUGGGGGAGCAUGGACCCACACCACACUAGCGCACCAAUUGAAGAGGAAGCCUAGCACCGAGCACCAAACGUCUCACACCAACGCCCUUUCACCCCCAUACCCUCAAUAAAAUCCACCCUUCAGGGAACUUACCUGCAUCCUCGAGUCAUGUCCUUCACCUCGCCACAAUCUACAUUAAGGACAGAUGAGACACGUGUGUUUAUCUGCUGAAAAGAGAAAUGCUGCCAUCAAAG